UUGACCUCAGAUCAGGUAGGAAUACCCGCUGAACUUAAGCAUAUCAAUAAGCGGAGGAAAAGAAACCAACAGGGAUUGCCCUAGUAACGGCGAGUGAAGCGGCAACAGCUCAAAUUUGAAAUCUGGCGCAAGCCCGAGUUGUAAUUUGUAGAGGAUGUUUCUGGCGACGUGCCUUCCGAGUUCCCUGGAACGGGACGCCAUAGAGGGUGAGAGCCCCGUACGGUUGGAUGCCUAGCCUCUGUGAAACUCCUUCGACGAGUCGAGUAGUUUGGGAAUGCUGCUCUAAAUGGGAGGUAUACGUCUUCUAAAGCUAAAUACCGGCCAGAGACCGAUAGCGCACAAGUAGAGUGAUCGAAAGAUGAAAAGCACUUUGAAAAGAGGGUUAAAAAGUACGUGAAAUUGUUGAAAGGGAAGCGUUUAUGACCAGACUUGGGCAGGUUGAUCAUCCGUGGUUCUCCGCGGUGCACUCUGCCUGCCCAGGCCAGCAUCAGUUUUCCCCGGGGGAUAAAGGUUUCGGGAAUGUGGCUCCUCCGGGAGUGUUAUAGCCCGUUGCGUAAUACCCUGGGGUGGACUGAGGUUCGCGCAUUGCAAGG
rnacentral:rRNA from 1 species